AUACGGAGGAUUCGAGCGUUAUCCGGAUUUAUUGGGUUUAAAGGGUGCGCAGGCGGCCAUUUAAGUCAGCGGUUAAAUCGUGGGGCUCAACCCCAUUCUGCCGUUGAUACUGGGUGGCUUGAUUGCGGUCGAGGUUGGCGGAAUUCGUUGUGUAGCGGUGAAAUGCAUAGAUAUGACGAAGAACACCGAUUGCGUAGGCAGCUGACCAGACCGCAAAUGACGCUCAUGCACGAAAGUGCGGGGAUCGAACAGGAUUAGAUACCCUGGUAGUCCGCACAGUAAACGAUGAAUACUUGUUUUCGGCGAUAUAAUGUCGGAGGCAAAGCGAAAGCGAUAAGUAUUCCACCUGGGGAGUACGCCGGCAACGGUGAAACUCAAAUGAAUUGGCGGGG
rnacentral:rRNA from 1 species